UUCAGUGCUGCUGAAGUUUGACUUCACCUCCAGAGGCACACUCCAUUGUCUCUUGAGACAGGUGCCAACAACAACUGAUUGGCUGGGGCACAAGACAAGGCCUUUUUGACAGGGUACCCCUAGGUGGCAAUAGCAGCCCAGAAACCACAAACAUUCUUACAGGCUAUGGCAGUCUUCAGGAACGCACCAGCAAGCCUCUCACUGGGAGCGACUGAACAUGUCCUCAACUCGCCAUAUUUUAAAGAGUUGAAAUGACCUUCAGUCAGAGGCUUCUACUUUUGAGUCUUGUAUGUCUCCUGUGCCAAUUUCCAUCUCAGGAGUGUCACCCAAUGGACAAGGAUGUUGAAAGAUUCAUCAUUUAGAUGUCAAGAGUGUUGUUGGGGGGCUGAAGAUUAAAGGCUCCAAAGCUGUCAGCUAUCAUUCCUCAAACAUUUCCAAAAACUUGCUACACUAAAGCUCUAGAGAUUAUCUUGAACCUGAGUACAGCUGAGGAGGUGGCGGCAAACACUUAAUAACAGACAUCUCAUCGCAUUUCCUUGUGGAGAAAAAUAUUUGCUUUGAACAAUGCAAGAAAAACCCCACCUUCCUGUGUAUAAUAAUUAACUGCACGACCAGUUCUACAUCUUUUGAUUAACAUGUUCCUAUUCUCUUAAACAAAUGGAGGCUGCUAAAGUUCUGGGAUCCCAAAAUGGAGAUUAAAGGAACAGCUUUGUUGUU